rnacentral:rRNA from 1 species
UGGGGAAUAUUGCACAAUGGAGGGAACUCUGAUGCAGCGACGCCGCGUGAGUGAUGAAGGAAUUCGUUUCGUAAAACUCUGUUCUAUGGGAAGAAAAUGACUGUACCAUAGGAGAAAGCUCCGGCUAAAUACGUGCUAGCAGCCGCGGUAAUACGUAUGGAGCGAGCGUUGUCCGGAAUUAUUGGGCGUAAAGGGUGCGCAGGCGGCUUUACAAGUUGGAUGUGAAAUAUUGUGGCUCAACCACAAACGUGCAUCCAAAACUGCAAAGCUUGAGUUAAGGAGAGGUAAGUGGAAUUCCUGGUGUAGCGGUGAAAUGCGUAGAUAUCAGGAGGAAUACCGGUGGCGAAGGCGACUUACUGGACUUAAACUGACGCUCAGGCACGAAAGCGUGGGGAGCAAACAGG